GACUACGAGUUUGAUCAUGGCUCAGNUUGAACGCUGGCGGCAGGCUUAACACAUGCAAGUCGAGCGGAGACUUCGGUCUUAGCGGCGAACGGGUGAGUAAUACCUAGGAAUCUGCCUAUUAGUGGGGGAUAACGAAUCGAAAGGUUCGCUAAUACCGCAUACGUCCUACGGGAGAAAGGGGGGGAUCUUCGGACCUCUCGCUAAUAGAUGAGCCUAGGCCGGAUUAGCUAGUUGGUAGGGUAAAGGCCUACCAAGGCGACGAUCUGUAGCUGGUCUGAGAGGAUGGCCAGCCACACUGGAACUGAGACACGGUCCAGACUCCUACGGGAGGCAGCAGUGGGGAAUAUUGGACAAUGGGGCAACCCUGAUCCAGCCAUGCCGCGUGCGGGACGAAGGCCUUCGGGUUGUAAACCGCUUUCAGCCGGAAAGAAAUCGCCAAGGCUAAUAUCCUUGGUGGAUGACGGUACCGGAAGAAGAAGCACCGGCUAACUACGUG
rnacentral:rRNA from 1 species